UGGGGGGAUAUUGCACAAUGGGGGAAACCCUGAUGCAGCAACGCCGCGUGAAGGAAGAAGGUCUUCGGAUUGUAAACUUUUGUCUUGCGGGACGAAUAAUGACGGUACCGCAGGAGGAAGCCACGGCUAACUACGUGCCAGCAGCCGCGGUAAUACGUAGGUGGCGAGCGUUGUCCGGAAUUACUGGGUGUAAAGGGUGCGUAGGCGGAUUUGCAAGUCAGGUGUGAAAACUAUCGGCUUAACCGGUAGCCUGCACUUGAAACUGUGAGUCUUGAGUGGUGAAGAGGUAAGCGGAAUUCCUAGUGUAGCGGUGAAAUGCGUAGAUAUUAGGAGGAACACCAGCGGCGAAGGCGGCUUACUGGGCACUAACUGACGCUGAGGCACGAAAGCAUGGGGAGC
rnacentral:rRNA from 1 species